rnacentral:lncRNA from 1 species
UUCCUUGUGAUGAUGUGAAAUAGAAUGCCUACAUCAUGAGAUGAAGUGAAUGGAGUAGGCAUUGUGACAUGUUAGGCUACUAUUGACCUAUCAGGUGUAUAGCAUCUACAGUGUGGAUACACUGGACAAAAGGAUGACUAACAUCCUGAGUUAGACACAGCAGGGUGGGCCAAGACUUUAUCAUGUUACUCAGAAUGGAGUGCAAUUUAAAACUCAUGAAUUGUUUAUUUUUGUAAUUUUCUGUUUAAGAUUUUUGAGCUGAGAUUGACCAUGGAUAACUGUCCCACAGAAACUGAAACAGUGGAUAAGGGGUACUACUAUAUCGUUAGGAUAAUAAAGUAGACUACAAAAUAGUUCCAUCAGUAUAACUGCAACUUAAACAAAUACUACACAGAGAGGGGAGAAAAGACUAGAAGAUCCAGCAAGGAGCCUCCCAGAUGGAGUACAUGGAGACCAUGACUGUGAAAGAUGAGGAUCAAGUGCAGAUUUGGUGGCCUCUGAUUGCCAGUAUCUGGCAGCCACAUUCUCUUCCCACAAGAUGUGCUGGAAAUAUGACCAAGCAGAAGUUCACUUAAGUGAAUCCAACAGUUAAACCUACCAUGGAAGGGUGUGGUGCACAGAGGGCAUGUGGAGAAGAGAAGACCACAGUGGGAACCUCCAAGGAACUAACAUCUAGCUGGGGAUGAGGGGGGAUUUGGCUAUGUAGAGAGUAAAUAAAGUGAUAUGAGAAUUAAA